rnacentral:rRNA from 1 species
UACGUAGGGUGCGAGCGUUGUCCGGAAUUACUGGGCGUAAAGAGCUCGUAGGUGGUUUGUCGGCGUUGUCCGUGAAAACUCACAACUCAAUUGUGGCGUGCGGGCGAUACGGGCAGACUGGAGUACUGCAGGGGAGACUGGAAUUCCUGGUGUAGCGGUGGAAUGCGCAGAUAUCGCUUGGAACGCCGAAGGUGAAAACAGGUCGCUGGGGAUGUGCCGACGCUGAGACACGGAAAGCCAGGGGAGCAAACGGG